GAUGAACGCUGGCGGCGUGCCUAAUACAUGCAAGUCGAGCGAACGGACGAGAAGCUUGCUUCUCUGAUGUUAGCGGCGGACGGGUGAGUAACACGUGGAUAACCUACCUAUAAGACUGGGAUAACUUCGGGAAACCGGAGCUAAUACCGGAUGAUAUUUUGAACCGCAUGGUUCAAAAGUGAAAGACGGUCUUGCUGUCACUUAUAGAUGGAUCCGCGCUGCAUUAGCUAGUUGGUAAGGUAACGGCUUACCAAGGCAACGAUGCAUAGCCGACCUGAGAGGGUGAUCGGCCACACUGGAACUGAGACACGGUCCAGACUCCUACGGGAGGCAGCAGUAGGGAAUCUUCCGCAAUGGGCGAAAGCCUGACGGAGCACCGCCGCGUGAGUGAUGAAGGUCUUCGGAUCGUAAAACUCUGUUAUUAGGGAAGAACAUAUGUGUAAGUAACUGUGCACAUCUUGACGGUACCUAAUCAGAAAGCCACGGCUAACUACGUG
rnacentral:rRNA from 1 species